UACGGAGGGUGCGAGCGUUGUUCGGAAUCACUGGGCGUAAAGCGCGUGUAGGCGGCCCAUUAAGUCUGAUGUGAAAGCCCGGGGCUCACCCCCGGAAGUGCAUUGGAAACUGCUGGGCUGGAGUCCCGGAGAGGAGGGUGGAAUUCCUGGUGUAGCGGUGAAAUGCGUAGAUAUCAGGAGGAACACCGGUGGCGAAGGCGGCCCUCUGGACGGUGACUGACGCUGAGACGCGAAAGCGUGGGGAGCAAACAGG
rnacentral:rRNA from 1 species